rnacentral:misc_RNA from 1 species
AACGCACCUUGCACUCUUUGGUAUUCCGAAGAGUAUGUCUGUUUGAGUGUCAUGAAACUCUCAACCCCCCUAUUUUGUAAUGAAAUGGGCGUGGGCUUGGAUUAUGGUUGUCUGUCGGCGUAAUUGCCGGCUCAACUGAAAUACACGAGCAACCCUAUUUAAAUAAACGGUUUGACUUGGCGUAAUAAUUAUUUCGCUAAGGACGUUUUCUUAAAAUAUAAGAGGUGCUACUAAUUCGCUUUUAUAGCAUUUAAGCUUUAGACCUCAAAUCAGUCAGGACUACCCGCUGAACUUAA